GUGCUUGCUUCAGCAGCACAUAUACUGAACUUGGAAUGAUACAGAGAAGAUUAGCAUGGCCCCUGUACAAGGAUGACAUGCAAAUUCGUGAAGCAUUCCAUAUUUAA
rnacentral:snRNA from 1 species